AUCGCACGAUGAGAACACUAACGAAGUAACUCCUUGAAUCGCUCCCAAGCCUCAUACAAAGACUUGUCAUCCAAUUGUUGGAAAGUUGUGAUCUCGUCCCUCAAAUU
rfam:Gossypium raimondii Chr10_contig_978, whole genome shotgun sequence.